rnacentral:rRNA from 1 species
AAAACUUUCAACAACGGAUCUCUUGGCUCUGGCAUCGAUGAAGAACGCAGCGAAAUGCGAUAAGUAAUGUGAAUUGCAGAAUUCAGUGAAUCAUCGAAUCUUUGAACGCACAUUGCGCCCGCCAGUAUUCUGGCGGGCAUGCCUGUUCGAGCGUCAUUACAACCCUCAGGCCCCCGGGCCUGGCGUUGGGGAUCGGCGGAAGCCCCCUGCGGGCACAACGCCGUCCCCCAAAUACAGUGGCGGUCCCGCCGCAGCUUCCAUUGCGUAGUAGCUAACACCUCGCAACUGGAGAGCGGCGCGGCCACGCCGUAAAACACCCAACUUCUGAAUGUUGACCUCGAAUCAGGUAGGAAUACCCGCUGAACUUAAGCAUAUCAAUAAGCGGAGGAAAAGAAACCAACAGGGAUUGCCCCAGUAACGGCGAGUGAAGCGGCAACAGCUCAAAUUUGAAAUCUGGCUCUCGGGCCCGAGUUGUAAUUUGUAGAGGAUGCUUUUGGUGAGGUGCCUUCCGAGUUCCCUGGAACGGGACGCCAUAGAGGGUGAGAGCCCCGUCUGGUUGGACACCGAUCCUCUGUAAAGCUCCUUCGACGAGUCGAGUAGUUUGGGAAUGCUGCUCUAAAUGGGAGGUAUAUGUCUUCUAAAGCUAAAUACCGGCCAGAGACCGAUAGCGCACAAGUAGAGUGAUCGAAAGAUGAAAAGAACCUUGAAAAGAGAGUUAAAAAGUACGUGAAAUUGUUGAAAGGGAAGCGCUUGUGACCAGACUUGGGCUUGGUUGAUCAUCCGGGGUUCUCCCCGGUGCACUCUUCCGGCUCAGGCCAGCAUCAGUUCGCCCUGGGGGAUAAAGGCUUCGGGAAUGUGGCUCUCUCCGGGGAGUGUUAUAGCCCGCUGCGUAAUACCCUGUGGCGGACUGAGGUUCGCGCAUUCGCAAGGAUGCUGGCGUAAUGGUCAUCAGUGACCCGUCUUGAAACACGGACC